CUAUGCGCCUUGCCAGCCCGCUCAGGUGUGCCAGCCGCCGCGGUAAUACGUAGGUGGCAAGCGUUGUCCGGAUUUACUGGGUGUAAAGGGCGUGCAGCCGGAGAGACAAGUCAGAUGUGAAAUCCGCAGGCUCAACCUGCGAACUGCAUUUGAAACUGUUUCCCUUGAGUAUCGGAGAGGUCAUCGGAAUUCCUAGUGUAGCGGUGAAAUGCGUAGAUAUUAGGAAGAACACCAGUGGCGAAGGCGGAUGACUGGACGACAACUGACGGUGAGCGCGAAAGCGUGGGAGCAAACAGG
rnacentral:rRNA from 1 species